GUCUUGUCAAAUUCCGUACUGGUGUCACGCAAAGGCGUUGUGCCAACUAGCCUUCUUCAUCUGGAAGGCUUUAUUUUCUGAGAAACCGGUACGCAUUUGUUGUGUAACUUUGUGCUUCAAACGGCUGAACGUCUCGAGGCUCAAUGAUGUAACACUACUCUUCGAAUACGAGGAUGAGAAAAAGGUCAAGAAACACUUCGAGAAAAAAGGUGGAUUCAGCGGCAGUGCGGCUGAUGAAAACGGAGAAGUAACUGACCACGUCAAAAAGUUCAGAAUUCAUUUUCAUCGAAAGAAAGAAAACUCGAAAGGCGAAGCCACAGAAGGCUUCUACACUCAUGUCACCCUGGUCCGUCUCAAAGCUGUACUCGAUGUUGGACGCCGAGUGGCCCACUGGGCCCUCGCCACUGUUCUGGCCCGCCAGGGCACAUAAGGAGAAGUAACUGACCACGUCAAAAAGUUCAGAAUUCAUUUUCAUCGAAAGAAAGAAAACUCGAAAGGCGAAGCCACAGAAGGCUUCUACACUCAUGUCACCCUGGUCUGUCUCAAAGCUGUACUCGAUGUUGGACGCCGAGUGGCCCACUGGGCCCUCGCCACUGUUCUGGCCCGCCAGGGCAC